rnacentral:rRNA from 1 species
GACGAACGCUGGCGGCGUGCCUAAUACAUGCAAGUAGAACGCACAGUUUAUACCGUAGCUUGCUACACCAUAGACUGUGAGUUGCGAACGGGUGAGUAACGCGGAGGUAACCUGCCUGGUAGCGGGGGAUAACUAUUGGAAACGAUAGCUAAUACCGCAUAAUAUUAAUUAUUGCAUGAUAAUUUAUUGAAAGGUGCAAUUGCACCACUACCAGAUGGACCUGCGUUGUAUUAGCUAGUAGGUGAGGUAACGGCUCACCUAGGCGACGAUACAUAGCCGACCUGAGAGGGUGAUCGGCCACACUGGGACUGAGACACGGCCCAGAGGCCUACGGGAGGCAGCAGUAGGGAAUCUUCGGCAAUGGGCGAAAGUCUGAGCGAGCAACGCCGCGUGAGUGAAGAGGGUUUUCGGAUCGUAAAGCACUGUUGUAAGAGAAGAACGGGUGUGAGAGUGGAAAGUUCACACUGUGACGGUAUCUUACCAGAAAGGGACGGCUAACUACGUG